rnacentral:rRNA from 1 species
CCUACGGGAGACAGCAGUGGGGAAUAUUGGGCAAUGGGCGAAAGCCUGACCCAGCAACGCAGCGUGAAGGAAGAAGGCUCUCGGGGUGUAAACUUCUUUUGACAGGGAAGAGCAGAAGACGGUACCUGUCGAAUAAGCUACGGCUAACGACGUGCCAGCAGCCGCGGUAAUACGUAGGUGGCAAGCGGUGUCCGGAUUUACUGGGUGUAAAGGGCGUGUAGCGGGGCUGAUAAGUCAGAUGUGAAAGUCUGGGGCUCAACCCACGAAUUGCAUUUGAAACUGGUGGUCUUGAGUAUCGGAGAGGCAGGCGGAAUUCGUAGUGUAGCGGUGAAAUGCGUAGAUAUUAGGAAGAACACCAGUGGCGAAGGCGGCCUGCUGGACGACCACUGACAGUGAUGCUCGAAAGUGUGGGGAGCAAACAGGAUUAGAUACCCUUGUAGUC